UGGGGAAUAUUGCGCAAUGGGCGAAAGCCUGACGCAGCCACGCCGCGUGAGCGAUGAAGGCCUUCGGGUCGUAAAGCUCUGUGGGGAGAGACGAAGAAAGCCCGUGAAGAGCGGGCCUUGACGGUAUCUCCUUAGCAAGCACCGGCUAACUCCGUGCCAGCAGCCGCGGUAAUACGGAGGGUGCAAACGUUGCUCGGAAUCAUUGGGCGUAAAGCGCACGUAGGCGGCGAAGCAAGUUGGGUGUGAAAGCCCUGGGCUCAACCCAGGAAGUGCAUUCAAAACUGCUUCGCUUGAAUCUCGGAGGGGGUCAGAGAAUUCCCGGUGUAGAGGUGAAAUUCGUAGAUAUCGGGAGGAAUACCAGUGGCGAAGGCGCUGACCUGGACGAAGAUUGACGCUGAGGUGCGAAAGCGCGGGGAGCAAACAGG
rnacentral:rRNA from 1 species